GGGUGAAGGAACUAGGCAAAAUGGUACCGUAACUUCGGGAGAAGGUACGCUCUUGAUGGUGAAGUCCCUUGCGGAUGGAGCUGACGAGAGUCGCAGAUACCAGGUGGCUGCAACUGUUUAUUAAAAACACAGCACUGUGCAAAAUCGUAAGAUGACGUAUACGGUGUGACGCCUGCCCGGUGCCGGAAGGUUAAUUGAUGGGGUUAGACUUC
rnacentral:rRNA from 1 species